UCUUCGGCAAUGGACGAAAGUCUGACCGAGCAACGCCGCGUGAGUGAAGAAGGUUUUCGGAUCGUAAAACUCUGUUGUUAGAGAAGAACAAGGAUGAGAAGAGAAUGUUCAUCCCUUGACGGUAUCUAACCAGAAAGCCACGGCUAACUACGUUCCAGCAGCCGCGGUAAUACGUAGGUGGCAAGCGUUGUCCGGAUUUAUUGGGCGUAAAGCGGGCGCAGGCGGUUCGUUAAGUCUGAUGUGAAAGCCCCCGGUUCAACCGGGGAGGGUCAUUGGAAGCUGGGGAACUUGAGUGCAGAAGAGGAGAGUGGAAUUCCAUGUGUAGCGGUGAAAGGCGUAGGUAUAUGGAGGAACACCAGUGGCGAAGGCGGCUCUCUGGUCUGUAACUGACGCUGAGGCUAGAAAGCGUGGGGAGCAAACAGG
rnacentral:rRNA from 1 species